GACGAACGCUGGCGGCGUGCCUAAUACAUGCAAGUAGAACGCUGAAGGAGGAGCUUGCUUCUCUGGAUGAGUUGCGAACGGGUGAGUAACGCGUAGGUAACCUGCCUGGUAGCGGGGGAUAACUAUUGGAAACGAUAGCUAAUACCGCAUAAGAGUAGAUGUUGCAUGACAUUUGCUUAAAAGGUGCAAUUGCAUCACUACCAGAUGGACCUGCGUUGUAUUAGCUAGUUGGUGGGGUAACGGCUCACCAAGGCGACGAUACAUAGCCGACCUGAGAGGGUGAUCGGCCACACUGGGACUGAGGCACGGCCCAGACUCCUACGGGAGGCAGCAGUAGGGAAUCUUCGGCAAUGGACGGAAGUCCGACCGAGCAACGCCGCGUGAGUGAAGAAGGUUUUCGGAUCGUAAAGCUCUGUUGUAAGAGAAGAACGAGUGUGAGAGUGGAAAGUUCACACUGUGACGGUAUCUUACCAGAAAGGGACGGCUAACUACGUG
rnacentral:rRNA from 1 species